rnacentral:rRNA from 1 species
CAAGUCGAGCGAAUCUUUGGGAGCUUGCUCCUAAAGAUUAGCGGCGGACGGGUGAGUAACACGUGGGCAACCUGCCUAUAAGACUGGGAUAACUUCGGGAAACCGGAGCUAAUACCGGAUAAUUCAUGUCUACUCAUGUAGAUAUGCUGAAAGACGGUUUACACUGUCACUUAUAGAUGGGCCCGCGGCGCAUUAGCUAGUUGGUGAGGUAACGGCUCACCAAGGCAACGAUGCGUAGCCGACCUGAGAGGGUGAUCGGCCACACUGGGACUGAGACACGGCCCAGACUCCUACGGGAGGCAGCAGUAGGGAAUCUUCCGCAAUGGACGAAAGUCUGACGGAGCAACGCCGCGUGAGUGAUGAAGGUUUUCGGAUCGUAAAACUCUGUUGUUAGGGAAGAACAAGUACCAGAGUAACUGCUGGUACCUUGACGGUACCUAACCAGAAAGCCACGGCUAACUACGUGCCAGCAGCCGCGGUAAUACGUAGGUGGCAAGCGUUGUCCGGAAUUAUUGGGCGUAAAGCGCGCGCAGGCGGUCCUUUAAGUCUGAUGUGAAAGCCCACGGCUCAACCGUGGAGGGUCAUUGGAAACUGGGGGACUUGAGUACAGAAGAGAAGAGUGGAAUUCCACGUGUAGCGGUGAAAUGCGUAGAGAUGUGGAGGAACACCAGUGGCGAAGGCGACUCUUUGGUCUGUAACUGACGCUGAGGCGCGAAAGCGUGGGGAGCAAACAGGAUUACAUACCUGGUAGUCC